rnacentral:rRNA from 1 species
UAUUGCGCAAUGGAGGAAACUCUGACGCAGCGACGCCGCGUAUAGGAAGAAGGUUUUCGGAUUGUAAACUAUUGUCGUGAGGGAAGAAAUUGACAGUACCUCAGGAGGAAGCUCCGGCUAACUAUGUGCCAGCAGCCGCGGUAAUACAUAGGGAGCAAGCGUUAUCCGGAUUUAUUGGGUUUAAAGGGUGCGCAGGCGGAAUGUCAAGUCAGCGGUAAAAUUUCGGGGCUCAACCCCGUCGUGCCGUUGAAACUGGCGUUCUUGAGUGAGCGAGAAGUAUGCGGAAUGCGUGGUGUAGCGGUGAAAUGCAUAGAUAUCACGCAGAACUCCGAUUGCGAAGGCAGCAUACCGGCGCUCAACUGACGCUCAUGCACGAAAGCGUGGGUAUCG